GUGGGGCGGUACCUCAGGAUAAUGGCAGCAGAAGGCAAAGGGAGCAGACAGCUGGCAAGCUCUGUCCCAAUAUGCUUCCCUGAAAGAGGCGAGGAAAUUUCAGAAGAUGCAAUGCCUGAAUGGCUCACUUUGCAGAGAAAAAAAGAAGCAAGGCUGUAAAUUUCUUUAAAUGAUAGAUGUAAAGAUGGAAGACAGAUGGAUAGAGGAAAAGACAGAAUCAGAUACUGCAUGAAUUAGUACUGCAGCCCGUGCUCCAGCGCUGUCUUAUUACCAUCAGGCCAGCAAGCAUCAAAGUCCCCACAUCCCCCACUCCCUCCCCCUGAAAUGUACCGAUUUAUAUGAAAAUUAAGAUUACAAAUUAAAGCCUGGCUAUCCUGGAGUUUUCCAGUUCAUCAGCCAUCCAAUAAAAAUGAUGUCAAGCCUGUAUGCAUAAUUCCCAGAAGAUUACUUUGUCCUUACAGCUAAGCCCUGUCCCUGAUAUGAAAGAUCUCUAUCCACUUUUAUUGAAAUAAAGAACUAACAUCAUAAUCCCAAUAUUGAGGUAUAAUCUUCAUUAUCUCCUGACCCUCUUGAGGUUCCCCCAAUCUAUAUUACUUCAGAUUUGUUUAUUUAUAAUCCUUAUGUAUUUACCUUUAUUGAGAUAAG
rnacentral:lncRNA from 1 species